rnacentral:rRNA from 1 species
GACGAACGCUGGCGGCGUGCCUAACACAUGCAAGUCGAACGGACGAGGCCCCUUCGGGGACCGAGUUAGUGGCGAACGGGUGAGUAACGCGUGAGCAACCUGCCUUUCAGAGGGGGACAACAGUUGGAAACGACUGCUAAUACCGCAUGACGCAUGACGGGGGCAUCCCUGACAUGCCAAAGAUUUAUCGCUGAAAGAUGGCCUCGCGUCUGAUUAGCUAGUUGUGGGGUAACGGCCCACCAAGGCGACGAUCAGUAGCCGGACUGAGAGGUUGACCGGGCCACAUUGGGACUGAGACACGGCCCAGACUCCUACGGGAGGCAGCAGUGGGGAAUAUUGCGCAAUGGGGGAAACCCUGACGCAGCAAUGCCGCGUGAAGGAUGAAGGUUUUCGGAUUGUAAACUUCUUUUACNGAGGACGAAAGAAAUGACGGUACUCAGAGAAUAAGCCCCCGGCUAACUACGUG